GAUCAUGGCUACAGGACGAACGCUGGCGGCGUGCUUAACACAUGCAAGUCGAACGGUAAGGCCCUUCGGGGUACACGAGUGGCGAACGGGUGAGUAACACGUGGGUGAUCUGCCCUGCACUUCGGGAUAAGCCUGGGAAACUGGGUCUAAUACCGGAUAGGACUCCUGGCUUCAUGGUUGGGGGUGUAAAGCUUUUGCGGUGUGGGAUGGGCCCGCGGCCUAUCAGCUUGUUGGUGGGGUAAUGGCCUACCAAGGCGACGACGGGUAGCCGGCCUGAGAGGGUGACCGGCCACACUGGGACUGAGAUACGGCCCAGACUCCUACGGGAGGCAGCAGUGGGGAAUAUUGCACAAUGGGCGCAAGCCUGAUGCAGCGACGCCGCGUGAGGGAUGACGGCCUUCGGGUUGUAAACCUCUUUCAAUAGGGACGAAGCGCAAGUGACGGUACCUAUAGAAGAAGGACCGGCCAACUACGUG
rnacentral:rRNA from 1 species